rnacentral:rRNA from 1 species
AAAAGCCUACCAAGGCGACGAUCGGUAGCUGGUCUGAGAGGAUGAUCAGCCACAAUGGGAUGAGACACGGCCCAUACUCUACGGGAGGCAGCAGUGGGGAAUUUUACGCAAUGGGCGAAAGCCUGACGUAGCGACACCGCGUGAACGAAGAAGCCUCUUGGGGUGUAAAGUUCUGUCAGCUGGAACGAAAAAAAUGACGGUACCAGCAGAGGAAGCAUCGGCUAACUACGUGCCAGCAGCCGCGGUAAGACGUAGGAUGCAAGCGUUGUCCGGAUUUAUUGGGCGUAAAGAGUUCGUAGGUGGUUUGUUAAGUUUGGUGUUAAAGAUUGGGGCUCAACCCUGAAACUGCACUGAAUACUGGCAGACUCGAGUGUGGUAGAGGCUAGUGGAAUUCCCAGUGUAGCGGUGAAAUGCGUAGAUAUUGGGAAGAACACCGGUGGCGUAGGCGACUAGCUGGGCCAUAACUGACACUGAGGAACGAAAGCCAGGGUAGCGAAUGGGAUUAGAUACCCC